rnacentral:lncRNA from 1 species
UUUUUUUUUUUUUUUUGAAAAAUGAAACCAGAGAUGGGACUGGCUUUGAUUUAAUUAAAUCAAAGAUCUUUAGUUGACAGUUUGCAGGGUCCAUAACACUGUAUGGGGUGCACACAUAUGAACAAAGAGAUUAAAUUCAUCAUCAUGAUUAGAAAUGCAGAUAAAAACCCACAAGAGAAGAAUUUGGCCAACAAAAUGAGACAAAUUCUAUAAACACCCAAAAUACAUCUCCUCCAAAGUCUGCAAAUAAAGGUGUCAGCUUGUUUGACUUCUCCAGGAAGAGUUUCCUUUAAAGUGUUGCAAACAGCGCAGCAGCAAGGAGCAUCUGCUCAAAAGAAGGCCAGCGGUGAUGGCGCUGUGGGUCACCCCUCAGUGCCUCUGCAUCUUCAGGUGUUUCAUUAAAACCCUACUAACUGGUUAAGACUAGAAUGCAGCACGGUGUCGGUCACAGGAGAUUAUCCACAGGCUCCACGUGGACCCAAAGACACAGAGUCCCCAUGUGUGGCUGUCAGAGUGCUCACUGUCCAGAUGGCCUGGAUACAUUGUGUUUCAUGAUGUAGCUGCCCCAAGGACCACAGAGGAUAGGCAUGAAAGAUAAGCUAUCCACAAUGAAAUCUUUAAAACACGGAAAAGAGAAAUGGAUGAAGACACAAGAGGAUGAGAAGAUGGCUAUGCACAUGGACCAGAAGGAUCAGUAUUGUGGAAAUGGUAAUUUUACCCAAAGAAGUCUAUAGGUUCGAUGCCACCCAAAUCAAAAUCCUGAUGCAGUUUUUCCAUGGAAACAGAAACCAUGACUUUAGAGCUCAUAUUGAAGCUCAAAAGACCCCAGAGAACUAAAGCAAUCCUGACCAGUAAAAGCAUAGCUGGAGGUAUCUAUUUCAAUAAACUAUUUUGGAAAUUGUUUGAAGAGAACCAGUGAAAGAUGGGCUCUGUAUCCAAGGUUCCACACAGCUGAAACCUGCAUCUGGGUGUUCGCAAUGCCACUUUAGACUGCUGGUGGAGUAGGGCUGAAGUAGGCAAGGCCAGGCCAAAUGUGUGUUGGGACAGAGGGAGGUGGAGAAGCCAACGGGCUUCCACUGGCAUCUCCAGACAUCUUAUAUGUUCAUGACAUCAUCCCUUCCCGGGGCAUACCAGAAGACAGAUAGCCGUUGUCUUUUCAGACAGGAAGGGCUCACCCUGACUUCCAGCCACUGUGCAGACCCUGGCUGGCUAUUCCAGCUUCAGUGAGCAACUCUGCAGCCUCCCUGUAUCAGAGCUGAGCUUUCAGUCCAUAGCGUCUGUUGAGUGUGGCUUCUCUUCUUGACUCCCCUCAUAACACAGCUGAGCACACGGAAACCUUCAGCAGGUCACAGAGAAGAAUGGCCUGCUAAGCAUGUAGCCGCAAUGACUCACUAACAUGCACUUCAUACAUGCAUAAAGUUUACUAAUAUACACUUUGUAGGCUGCUCCUCAAGACCUGCAAUUUGAGGGUUCACAGCUUUAAAACUUCACAGUUUUUCAGUCUCAGAGGGCUUGAUUCAUGGCCUAAGUUGUUGUUUUUGUUGUUGUUGUUGUUUCCUUACUAACUCUCAGAAAAUGUGUAUUUUCAGGCCACAUUUCAAGUCCCAAUGUCCUAAGGGACAUAAGAGGGAAUUGGUCCCACCCCCUGUAGUAAGGGUGAGAUGGGCAUCUUGAUCUAUAAAAGGAAAAUGUCAACUAUUGAAGGAAAAGAAUGACAUUUGUUAAAGCACAGAAUGAAGGCUUUUAUUCAGGACCAGGAAACAAGGCAGGGGAAACUGUUGGGGAAGUUCGAGUUCCUAGAGGAGGCUAUGGGGGAUUGCUACCAUACACUGUGCGUCGUCUGGUUCAGUCUUCACACGGUAUUUCUGAAUAAACACCUGUACGCGCAUAGCCAAGUGUUUGCUGGAUACCUUCCCACUCUUUCUAUUGUCUUUUUACAAAGAUCCUCUUCCUGGCCAAGUGUCCAUCCAGCUGCUGACCCUCCUUCCAGUCUGACCUGUACACUUUCUUGUCUUACCCACUUUCCACACAGAUCACAGGUAAGUUAUUUAACAAGAACCCCAUCCUGGAUAUCACAGCAUUCUGGAUAUGGAACUGGGCUCAUCACCCUGCACAGGAUGCCUACCCACCCUAGGCGGCAUGCUGCAAUCUGAGAAGCCCGCCCUGGGAGAUGACGCCAGUGUGCUGAGAGCCAACAAGAAGAAAGUCAUUGUGAGUCUGUUUCGAACGCCAGUGAUGUACAUCAAUCACAGCCCUGACAGCAUGAUGCUCCACGGGUUGAGAAGAUUGCAUCUCCAGGGAAAACAGACAAGAGGCGUGUGCUGAGGUCGUCCUUCCGCACCAGACAAACUUGGAACGAAAAAGUGCACAUAACACUUCCUAAAGCACUUGAGUGACUGAUUUGUCAGCUCCUGUCACCUGACCAUGGGCUACCUUCAGAAGACUAGACCAGCUAGACAGUCAUGGACCACCAAUGAGAAAGUCACACAGUGUUCUUUCCCUUUUCUAUCUCUGGGGCCCAGCCAUAAGCUUUUCAUGCCCAUAAGGAAAGCUCGAAGCUCCCGGGGUGCUGUGAGGACCAGGGUACUGGGACCAGCUCAAACCUAGGCAUUGCAGUGAUCUGCCUGGUUCUAAUAAGAUGCAAUACAUGAGAAACAGGUACAGGCUUAGACUUCAGGCUCUUUCUGGACCUCAUCACAGUUCCCUGAUUCACAGGAGGACACUCUGACUACAUUUGUGAGUGACUUCUCUAGCUGUGUGCCAAGCCUUUCAGCAGCGCUCAUUUCAGAACAUUCAAUUUCCUCUUACUUUCUGUCAGUUGUCUCCCUUUGAAUUCUGAUUUAUUUUACACACCCCUAUAAACUGUCUUAAUUGUCUUUGAAACAGAGACCAGAGUAGAGAAGGCUCAGUCUGCCUGUCUUUAUGUGGGUGUGGAAUGUGGGUUGUGUAGAAAGCAUUUGGCCUCAGUGAAACGGGAGAUGUUCUCAGAACCCAUGGAUGUCAAUGGCCAUCAUGUUGUGAGCUCUCACGGACAGAUCUAGACCCCUUUUGCACUGGGCAGGGUUGAGUGCUGCUGGUCCCUCAUUUGUAACUCCUUUACUGUCACCAAGUGAAGGAAAAUGUCCAGAAAGUGAAGAACAUUCUGUUUCUUGGAAGUAACAAAGGUCUAGCUCAGUUCCCAGAGUGAGGUUCCCAGACAAGAGGCUCGAUGUCAUCUGAACAUCGGGGAAAGCAGAAUUCUCUGACCCACCCUGCAAGAAGCUUGGGUGCUGAAGACUGAUUUUCAAUCAAGCAUCCCAUGAUCGUGAGUUUGUGCAAGCCUGAGAACCUAUUGACUUGACUCAAAGUGGUGAGAGCGUUUUCCCAUGAACCACUCUACUUGCUGUGCGUUUUUAUUGAGGUGGGAACAGCUGUCUCUUAUUUAUAGAUUUAUCUCUUAUUUAUAGACUGUCAUCACACAGAUUUAUCUGCUUCUCAGGCAAAUUCCACGGAAAGGUUCACAGAAGCAAGAUUUGGAGCAUUUUGGCUCUCUUGGCCAUCAUAACUAAUGGGAGCCUGAUUUUACUUAAAUUUUCCCCAAAUUUGUAAAUCAUCCACCUCUAAAGCAGCCAAGUGAGAUAUUUAUAGUAUAAGGAAACUAGCCACAGAACAGAUUUCCAAAAAUCUGCAGUUUGCAUCAGCACGCUGCAGAAAAAAAG